rnacentral:rRNA from 1 species
UACGAGGGGGGCGAGCGUUGUUCGGAAUUAUUGGGCGUAAAGGGUGCGUAGGCGGCGGGGUAAGUCUGGUGUGAAAUCUCGGAGCUCAACUCCGAAAUUGCACUGGAUACUGCUCUGCUAGAGGGCUGGAGAGGAGAUCGGAAUUCACGGUGUAGCAGUGAAAUGCGUAGAUAUCUGGAGGAACACCGGUGGCGAAGGCGGCCUUCUGGACAGUGACUGACGCUGAGACGCGAAAGCGUGGGGAGCAAACAGG